rnacentral:rRNA from 1 species
GGCUCAGGAUGAACGCUGGCGGUAUGCUUAACACAUGCAAGUCGAACGGAAUCUUAGGAUUUAGUGGCGGACGGGUGAGUAACGCGUGAGAAUUUGGCUUCAGGUCGGGGAUAACAGUUGGAAACGACUGAUAAUACCGGAUGUGCCGAGAGGUGAAAGAUUUAUUGCCUGAAGAUAAGCUCGCGUCUGAUUAGCUAGUUGGUGGUGUAAGGGACUACCAAGGCGACGAUCAGUAGCUGGUCUGAGAGGAUGAUCAGCCACACUGGGACUGAGACACGGCCCAGACUCCUACGGGAGGCAGCAGUGGGGAAUUUUCCGCAAUGGGCGAAAGCCUGACGGAGCAAUACCGCGUGAGGGAGGAAGGCUCUUGGGUCGUAAACCUCUUUUCUCAAGGAAGAAGAAAGUGACGGUACUUGAGGAAUAAGCAUCGGCUAACUCCGUGCCAGCAGCCGCGGUAAUACGGAGGAUGCAAGCGUUAUCCGGAAUGAUUGGGCGUAAAGGGUCCGUAGGUGGAACUGAAAGUCUGCUGUUAAAGAGUCUGGCUCAACCAGAUAAAAGCGGUGGAAACUACAGAACUAGAGUAUGGUAGGGGUAGAAGGAAUUCCUGGUGUAGCGGUGAAAUGCGUAGAUAUCAGGAAGAACACCGGUGGCGAAAGCGUUCUACUAGACCAAAACUGACACUGAGGGACGAAAGCUAGGGGAGCGAAUGGGAUUAGAUACCCCAGUAGUCCUAGCCGUAAACGAUGGAUACUAGGCGUGGCUUGUAUCGACCCGAGCCGUGCCGGAGCUAACGCGUUAAGUAUCCCGCCUGGGGAGUACGCACGCCAGUGUGAAACUC